UCGCCAGACUCCUACGGGAGGCAGCAGUGAGGAAUAUUGGUCAAUGGGCGCGAGCCUGAACCAGCCAAGUAGCGUGAAGGAUGACUGCCCUACGGGUUGUAAACUUCUUUUAUAAAGGAAUAAAGUGAGGCACGUGUGCCUUUUUGUAUGUACUUUAUGAAUAAGGAUCGGCUAACUCCGUGCCAGCAGCCGCGGUAAUACGGAGGAUCCGAGCGUUAUCCGGAUUUAUUGGGUUUAAAGGGAGCGUAGGUGGAUUGUUAAGUCAGUUGUGAAAGUUUGCGGCUCAACCGUAAAAUUGCAGUUGAAACUGGCAGUCUUGAGUACAGUAGAGGUGGGCGGAAUUCGUGGUGUAGCGGUGAAAUGCGUAGAUAUAAGGAAGAACACCAGUGGCGAAGGCGGAUGACUGGACGGCAACUGACGGUGAGGCGCGAAAGCGUGGGGAGCAAACAGGAUUAGAUACCCUGGUA
rnacentral:rRNA from 1 species